AGGUUUCUGAGGAUGGGUUAGAGU
rnacentral:siRNA from 1 species